GAAAAUGUAGCUGGUUCCUAUGAAAC
rnacentral:piRNA from 1 species